GGCGAUCUUUCGAAUGCGACUUGUUGUUGCGAGUCGAACAUUGACGAGUGUUCAAUGAUUGAACACUCGUGUGCCGACCGAGCGCCGCGCUGGUCGUCGCUGUGUUGUCGACCGCGCGCCGCACGUGCUUCAGUCACGGCUCGGAGUUCUGUGAGUCAAUUUCAUUUAUUCAUUAACAAUAAUAUUCUUUUAUUAAACUCGUUUUGAAUGUGUUUCAACUAGAAAUGGUGAUCUAUUUACAUUCGGGUGAGUGUUUUAACUUUCUUAAUAACUUUUAAUAUAAAAUAAUGUAUUUGUUAACCAUCAAACGACGAAUUGAAUUUAGUUAAAUUUUACGUUUUUUUGAUUUCGUUGUUUUUAAUUUUGAUGGCAAUUUUUCGUACGUAAAACAUUUUAAAAACGUCAUAGACCAUAGACAUAUUAGAAACCAAUGAUUAAAUCUGAAGGAUCUAUUUCAGUUAGCAUCCUUUUGCGAUGAUGUAGCUUCAGGUUUUUUUUUUGUUUUUUUGAGUGGGCAACAUCGUAGUGUGUUUGGAUGAUGGAUGGUCUUGAGUUUAUGAGGACAGUCUGAGGUUAAGUGGUUACUGGCGCCUAUCUAGAGCUCUUUUCGAACUUACGCUUCAAAUCUCAAUUCUAUUUAUUAUUAAAGUUGUUGUUUUUUAAACGAGUUUUGAUAUCUGUGAACCUACGGUGCUCAACUCUGGGGCCGGGUUUGUAAUGGUUAGUCACAGAAAUGAAAUAGACGCGUCCUGCAUGACCGCACAGGUUAGUACCAUCAUCCGACCUGUGUCUGCCACGAAACUGAGCAGCCGUUGUACUAUAGAACUUUGAUCUCAUGUCUCGAGAUGGGUAGCACAUUUAUGUAGCUCACGUCUAUGGGUUUCGGCGACCGCUUAGCGCGACGAGGGCCGUGAACUCGUUCACGUAAGCAAUAAAAAAGAGGAACCAAAUACUAGAAGAAGAACGACGUCUCCGGCUACUGUGUCAAUCAUUUGAAUCGAAGCAAAGAUUAACUGUUAGAGCGUAAACCGUCGAUAGAUCGACUCUCUCAUAAUGUGUAUAUAUAAAGAACGGAGCGUCGGAAUACGGACUAUUGCGCAGUUCGGUUAUACCAUAGGUAUUAGAUAUCAACCUGUACGGACGUGUCUUAGUUUUUAUUAAGUUUAAUACUAUUUAGCUGUGAAUUUAGCUUUGUAAAUGCUUUUCUUGUAUGGUCCUCUAUUUUUCUCCAAAAAACUCUUCUUUAUAGUCCUUUAUUCGUAGUGUUAGGAACAUUAUAUUUAUUAACGUGAUUUAAACGAACAAACUAAAACAUUAUUGGGAAUAAGUUGCUGAUUCUAUUUCUACACUAAGAGUAUAGUCAUGAAACUGUUAGGAUAAUUUUAUUUAAAUUGCAGUACUAUAAACAGACUUAAAAUUAAUAACAAAGUAUAUCGAAUUGUAAUUAAAAUAUAUUUAUUUAGAGCCAAUCCUCGUCCCCAUUAUGUAAAUAUUAUUAUUAAAUGACUUAAACAUUAGUUUCAUGACUAUAGUGAACUGCUGUUCACUUCGGCUCUGUCAAAAAAACGCGGGACGACCGCACAUCAAGAUGGCGGAUUCGGUCACGGAUUGAGAGGAGUCUUGUUUUGCAGAAUCAGGACGAUUUUAUGCAAUUUAUGUAUUUUAUGUAAAGCGAAGAAGAUUUUGUGAGAUUGGACCAGUAAAAGGAAGUAUAAUUAAAGAGUGAAUUUUUCGGCGAAAGCCAAAAGCAAGGUCUUUGUUAUUGAACAAGUAACUCUGAAUGCCAGUAUAUUUCAUCAGUUUUUUCUGCUUACAGUCCACGGUUUGAUCGUACAUUAAUAAUAUAAACAGAAAAAUAAUAAUUUAUUGACUAUUUUAACUAGUGUCUCUGGAACGUUUGCACUUGGCAUCUCGCUUCGCUUUUUUUUAAUCCUACCUAUGCUGAUAGCCUUGAGAGGCUAUUUCAGCUUCACCCUAACGUUUGUAGGUGAGCUCACGGGGCUCAAACCGGAGAGAUGCUAACACUGACCCUAGCAAGAGCAGUGCUUCGCAUAAUCUACCACCGGAUCGAAAACGCGACCCACUGAGAAGAUCCGGCGAGAAACUCAGUGGGCUGUGUCUAUGGGUUAAUUCGCUCGUCGAGUCCUUCGUCGUAAGCGACGGGUUCGACGAGGACGGUGACCGGUGCUUGUGAUACCUAAAAGCACCGUUAAUGGAUCGAAUCUCGCUUCGCAGAUUUCUUUCGGUACUCUUCAAAGGAGCCUUCAAACAAUAAUAUACAUACCUACAUAAAAUAUAUUGUUAGGCUCAAAAUGUAAAUUCGACAGUUGUUAUUUAUAAAACACGUGUCGAGUACUCAAAAAAGGCCGAAUAGAGACAAACAAUGCAUGCGAAUAUUUUCGGCACUUUUCAAACGAUUCCUCAAACAAACAUAAUACCUAUGUAUUGUUUGGUUGGUUAAAUUGUAAAUGCGGCUGUUUCGAACACGUGUCAUUCAUUUUAAAAAGAACAAAACAAUUAAUGAAGAUAAAUUUUUUUCGGCAUUUUUCAAACAACAUCACAACAAAACAAAAUCUAAAUUGAAAUUGUUUCAACAUGUCGCACUUUUGGAAUUGAAGUGGCAUUGUUUAAAAUUCUUGUUUUUUUUUGUAAACGCCAAAAAUGUAAUUGAAAAAUUGUAAUUUCUUCGGUUUCGAUUGUAAUACUUUAAGCUGUAAAUCGCAUACCUACAUUAAAGUUUAAAGUACGCGUUUGGUUUAAAAGAGACUGAACGUAUACGCCCUUUUUUAGAUUUAAAUUUUAUUUUUAAUUUUAUAAAUUGACUUAAUGAAGACCUACACGUUUAUAAAAUUAAUUUUCUUAAAAUUUUGUAGUUCACCCAUUUUAGUUCUAACGGUGCGAUAUAUUCUAUUUCUGAGAAUUGUGCUCGUGAAAACAUGAAUAUGUUCAGCUCAUACUUCGGGAGGAGUCGAUGGAAACUGUUAAAAUCACUCUGCAGUAUCAUGGGAACAGUUAAGGAGAAAGAGAAGCAGUACUGCACUGAAAACUCUCAAGGAUCAAUGGAAUUUUCGCGAGUGCAUCUACUACUGGAUCGGAAUCGUACUGGCUACAAGUAGCGUCUGAAAGCGCUGCGAAUGGGUCAGGUUGAUUCGUCAGAUCGUGUCUAGGAGGUCAACGGUGGUUGGUUCUGGCAUGACCAUAUGAACCUGGGUGUAGAUUAUGUCUCCUGACGGAUCGAAGACCAAGAUCGUCCUGAAAAUCGGCAUUCAUCACUUCAACUCACAAAGAAGGAGCAGUUUACUCAGUUUUCAGAUCACGGCAUAUCUUGGUAUGAAUACUGAAGGUCAUCCAGGUGAGUCUCGGAUUUAUACUUGAUUUUCUUUUCCCGGACUGAUUGGCUGAAGAUGGAUUAGAUCGGUCAUAACGCAUCUAAUAAAUUGGCUUCAAGUAAAUUGUCGAUUUGAAAUAAAAAAAAAAAAAAAUGUUUUUUUGUUCGAGUCGCUCGGCUUUUGCACAUCUCGACAGUACCGCUAAUUAAGAAGUAUAGUGGCGUUCACGGGAACUAAUUCAUUUUGAACAAGUAAAUUAGUUUAAAGUUUUAUUUAGUACAACGAAAAAGCAAUGAAUUACGAAAAAAAAACUAACGUGGUGUAUUUUAAGAUUGUUUUAAUAGGGAUAACGAGCAAUACCGUCCAGUUUUUUUGUGUGUGAAUUAGCGGUAAGUAUAAAGGUACCUAGUAGGUACCUACGUGAGGUUAUGCGAAGUGAAGCUCGUGAAUGAUUUGUAUUGUAUUGUGUAAGCUAACUUUAUAUUAAAUAUUCAUGUUUAUAGUCUCGUUUUAGUACAAAAUCGCAUAUACAGUGUGGAACGUGCCAAUUGAGCAACGCUGUUAAGAGUCUCGCCGAACAAAAAUUGAAGAAACCGUGGAAUUAAAAUCUUUCGAUUAACGAAGAACGAACUGUGUGCUGGAAUUUGAAAAGGAGGAAGCCUCAAAAGUACCUAAUGUCAACUUGGCAAUCAAGAAGGAAGAUGCUCACGCUGCAAUACUGCUUGUACGCUGCAAUUAUGCAAUACUGGACUUUAAAGUAAUGAUUCGUGCCAUACACACGCCGCAAUGUACGUCGCGUCUGCACGGAGCCGGCAACGAAUCUCCACAAACGAAAUUACGUGAUGUUAACAGAAACAUGUUAGAUAUUCUGUUUAUACAUAUAUAUGAGCGAGCUGUUACCCGCGGCUUCGCCAGCCUGAAUCAAGAAUCACCUCGCUCAGCUCUAGCGCCGCGUCUACGGAGGCCGAGGGGAAUCUAAAAUAAACG